GGCCAGCGUUGCUCGGAAUUACUGGGCGUAAAGGGUUCGUAGGUGGUGCGGCAAGUUGGAAGUGAAAUCUCUGGGCUUAACCCAGAGGCUGCUUUCAAAACUGCCGUGCUCGAGUGCGAGAGAGGCCAGUGGAAUUGCAGGUGUAGCGGUGAAAUGCGUAGAUAUCUGCAGGAACACCCGUGGCGAAGGCGGCUGGCUGGAUCGCAACUGACACUGUGGAACGAAAGCUAGGGGAGCAAACAGGAUUAGAUACCCUGGUAGUCCUAGCCCUAAACCAUCGGAACUUGGGGUGGCCCGCGUAGGCGGGUCGUCCCGUAGCUAACGCGUUAAGUUCCGCGCCUGGGGAGUACGGUCGCAAGACUGAGACUCAAAGGAAUUGACGGGGGCCCGCACAAGCGGUGGAACAUGUGGUUCAAUUCGACGCAACGCGAAGAACCUUACCUGGGCUUGAACCGCUACUGACCAACGGUAGAAAUAUCGUCUUCCCGCAAGGGACAGUAGUAGAGGUGCUGCAUGGCUGUCGUCAGCUCGUGCCGUGAGGUGUUGGGUUAAGUCCCGCAACGAGCGCAACCCUUACUCGUAGUUGCUACCCGCAAGGGAGAACUCUACGAGGACUGCUCCGGAUAACGGAGAGGAAGGUGGGGAUGACGUCAAGUCAGCACGGCCUUUAUGUCCAGGGCUACACACGUGUUACAAUGCACGGUACAGACUGUUGCGAACCCGCGAGGGGGAGCUAAUCGGCCAAAACCGUGCUCAGUUCGGAUUGCAGUCUGCAACUCGACUGCAUGAAGCUGGAAUCGCUAGUAAUGGCGCAUCAGAUCGGCGCCGUGAAUACGUUCC
rnacentral:rRNA from 1 species